UAGGGAAUCUUCCACAAUGGACGCAAGUCUGAUGGAGCAACGCCGCGUGAGUGAAGAAGGUUUUCGGAUCGUAAAGCUCUGUUGUUGGUGAAGAAGGAUAGAGGCAGUAACUGGUCUUUAUUUGACGGUAAUCAACCAGAAAGUCACGGCUAACUACGUGCCAGCAGCCGCGGUAAUACGUAGGUGGCAAGCGUUGUCCGGAUUUAUUGGGCGUAAAGCGAGCGGAGGCGGAAUGAUAAGUCUGAUGUGAAAGACCACGGCUCAACCGUGGAACUGCAUCGGAAACUGUCAUUCUUGAGUGCAGAAGAGGAGAGUGGAAUUACAUGUGUAGCGGUGGAAUGCGUAGAUAUAUGGAAGAACACCAGUGGCGAAGGCGGCUCUCUGGUCGGCAACUGACGCUGAGGCUCGAAAGCAUGGGUAGCGAACAGG
rnacentral:rRNA from 1 species